UACGUAGGGGGCUAGCGUUGCUCGGAAUCACUGGGCGUAAAGGGCGCGCAGGCGGCGUUUUAAGUCGGGGGUGAAAGCCUGUGGCUCAACCACAGAAUGGCCUUCGAUACUGGGACGCUUGAGUAUGGUAGAGGUUGGUGGAACUGCGAGUGUAGAGGUGAAAUUCGUAGAUAUUCGCAAGAACACCGGUGGCGAAGGCGGCCAACUGGACCAUUACUGACGCUGAGGCGCGAAAGCGUGGGGAGCAAACAGG
rnacentral:rRNA from 1 species